CUUUAAAUUAAAAUUAGUAUGAAAUUGUUUUGUUGAUUUCAUUGUAGAGGUUAGUGAUAUUUUCAUUUGAUCUAGUAGUUUGUCUUUCUAGUCUAACAUUUUAUACUUAGCAAUUGAGAUGGGCAUGUAGCUCUCAAUAUAGACUGCUGUGGAAUUAAUUACUCCUUGACUGACCUUCACAUUAUUUUGUUUCUGAGGGUUUGUGCUACAUAGAUGAACACAAAGAUCUGUAUGAACCUUUGCGCUACCUUCUGGCUGUUGAGGAUGUUAUUUGAGCCACGUUUUAAAAGAAAUUAUCUGAACAUUUAUCUUCAAAACUGUUUACAAUCUCUGGCUGCACCUAUUUUCUUCCCAUCAUCUGUUUAGUUACAGUUCGAAGGCCAGAUGUGAAAAGUCGAACAGAAAUUUUGAAAUGGCAUCUCAAUAAAAUAAAGUCCGAUCAGUCUGCUGAUCCAGAAAUAAUAGCUCAGGGUACUGUUGGAUUUUCUGGAACAGAGUUGGAGAAUCUUGUGAAUCAAGUUGCAUCAAAGGCAGCUGUUGAUGGAAAAGAAAUGGUUACCAUGAAGAAACUAGAGUUCUCCAAAGAUAAAAUUCUAAUGGGUAGGUUUUCAUUGUGUUAGAGAAUAAAUAACAAUUCUUCUCCUUUUAUUUUUUACUUUGACAUUGUAUUCAUACAGCUAAAACCUAUGGUUUUGUUGAAUAUAAUCUUACAAAAGCGUAUAUUUUCUUGGCAAUACCAUCUUGUCAAC